GGGAGCGUAGGCCGGAGAUUAAGCGUGUUGUGAAAUGUAGAUGCUCAACAUCUGCACUGCAGCGCGAACUGGUUUCCUUGAGUACGCACAAAGUGGGCGGAAUUCGUGGUGUAGCGGUGAAAUGCUUAGAUAUCACGAAGAACUCCGAUUGCGAAGGCAGCUCACUGGAGCGCAACUGACGCUGAAGCUCGAAAGUGCGGGUAUCGAACAGGAUUAGAUACCCUGGUAGUCCGCACGGUAAACGAUGGAUGCCCGCUGUUGGUCUGAAUAGGUCAGCGGCCAAGCGAAAGCAUUAAGCAUCCCACCUGGGGAGUACGCCGGCAACGGUGCAACUCAAAGGAAUUGACGG
rnacentral:rRNA from 1 species